rnacentral:rRNA from 1 species
CAGCAGCCGCGGUAAUACGAAGGGGGCUAGCGUUGUUCGGAUUUACUGGGCGUAAAGCGCACGUAGGCGGAUCCUUAAGUCAGAGGUGAAAUCCCAAGGCUCAACCUUGGAACUGCCUUUGAUACUGGGGAUCUCGAGUUCGGGAGAGGUGAGUGGAACUGCGAGUGUAGAGGUGAAAUUCGUAGAUAUUCGCAAGAACACCAGUGGCGAAGGCGGCUCACUGGCCCGAUACUGACGCUGAGGUGCGAAAGCGUGGGGAGCAAACAGGAUUAGAUACCCGCGUAGUCCCUGUCUCUUAUAC